rnacentral:sRNA from 1 species
UCGACUCGAGCGAAGCGAGAGAACGUUGCCGCAGGCAACGGCCCGAAGGGCGAGGAGCUAUAGCGACGAGUUAUCCUUCCCCCACCACCA